UCGAGUGACAGGUCGAGUGGC
rnacentral:siRNA from 1 species